GCGCCCGACCUCCAACCCUUUGUUGUUAAAACUACCUUGUUGCUUUGGCGGGACCGCUCGGUCUCGAGCCGCUGGGGAUUCGUCCCAGGCGAGCGCCCGCCAGAGUUAAACCAAACUCUUGUUAUUUAACCGGUCGUCUGAGUUAAAAUUUUGAAUAAAUCAAAACUUUCAACAACGGAUCUCUUGGUUCUCGCAUCGAUGAAGAACGCAGCGAAAUGCGAUAAGUAAUGUGAAUUGCAGAAUUCAGUGAAUCAUCGAAUCUUUGAACGCACAUUGCGCCCCUUGGUAUUCCGAGGGGCAUGCCUGUUCGAGCGUCAUUACACCACUCAAGCUAUGCUUGGUAUUGGGUGCCGUCCUUAGUUGGGCGCGCCUUAAAGACCUCGGCGAGGCCUCACCGGCUUUAGGCGUAGUAGAAUUUAUUCGAACGUCUGUCAAAGGAGAGGACUUCUGCCGACUGAAACCUUUAUUUUUCUAGGUUGACCUCGGAUCAGGUAGG
rnacentral:rRNA from 1 species